rnacentral:sRNA from 1 species
ACACUUUCUCAUUAGCUAAGAAAUCUUCAGAACAAACUUUUCAUAAAAGAAACUUCACUGCAAGAGUUGAAGCCUGAGCUAGAAAGUUACAAAGAAAAUAAUGUACAACAGUCGUUCCAGAUAAUGUCCCUGAAAGAUAAUAUCAAGGACCUACAGGAACUUACUGCUUCUCUAACCAGAAUUAAAUAUUUGAGAAACACCAAUAUUCAGAGGCUUCAAAGAGGCAACUGGGAUUUAACUAAAUGAAUUAUUGAGCUAGAAACUCACAGAGUACGAGUACAUCUGGUUGAAAAAGAAAAGGCAGAGAGAAAAGCAGACUUUUUGGAGUUGUUGUUCUCAGGCACUAACAGAUUCAUCCCUUAUAUGCAUAUGAAUGGACAAUAAGAUUUCUUGGAUAUUUUCAUGGCAAAGGUGAGGAGAAAUUUUUAUUGCUUUUUGAAGAAACAUGAUUUUUAUUACCUUGGGUUAUUCCAGGAGAUAAUUGAUAAAUGUGACAGGACAAUACUAUUCACUCUGAAGGACCAAAAAAUGAGCAGAAAAUUUGGGAUAAAUGUCAACAAGAUUUGAACCCUAAAGAAAAGCAAGCAUCGAGUUAGACAGACGUCCAUAUUCAUUCAACUGGGAAAAUAAAACUGUGCAGUCCCAACAUCAGAAUUUCCUUGGUCAGUUGGUUAUUGCGGGACAGCAUUCUUCUGCAUGACAGUAUUGUCUCCUUACCAGCCACAGAGGAGGCUGUGAGAGAGAGGAUUUGGGAAAUUGGUGCAAAUGAGAAAUCUUGGAAAUCUAGAAUUAAGCCUUUCAGCAGGAAAUCCAGAUGCUCACUAAGUGACUAGAGCAGCUGCAUCAUCUUUAAGAAGAAGGUGCUCAAGAAUCAUCCCAAGCUGAAGAAAAAAGUAUUGGGAACAAAAAAGACCCUUGAAAUGUCUAGAAAGAAAAAUUGAGAUCAAGGACUUUUUCAAGAGAGAUUAGACUUGGACAGGAACAAAGGAAAACUCAGGGACUAAGCAUUCCCAGAUAGACAAGCAUAGCAAGAAGUUCAAAAAGCUAGAGAAAGACAACAUGCAACAAAACAAAUGUUAUUGAAUAUUUGGUAGAAUUUGCAGAUUGCUACUACGCAAAGAUUGGAGGAGAAAAUUCAGAAACUUCAGAAACAGCUCAGUGAUUUGAAAUUGUCAAAUAAAAAUAUGAAAACUCAGCUGACAAGAGUAAAUGUCCUCAGGACAAAACAAUUGAAGAGCUCAGGCAAUCUUUAGCAAAUGUUGAAACGAUGAAAGAGAAGGCAAAUGUUGAAACGAUGAAAGAGAAGGCAGUUGUGAAAACAGAAAACUUGAAAACUACAUUAGACUCUGCAGAGCAAAAGGCAAGAUCAGACAAAGAGAAGACCCAGCAGAUGUUAGAUGCUGUCACUUCUGAGCCCCCAAUAGCAAAGAGCACACCUGAAGAAGUAUCAGGACAAGAACAAGAGGUUUUUUCAAAA